GUGAUCGUAUAGUGGUUAGUACUCUGCGUUGUGGCCGCAGCAACCUCGGUUCGAAUCCGAGUCACGGCAUGCUUUCGGCGGUGACCCCUUUUCUGUUUUUCCCCCAAACCUUUUAAAGGUAAUCCGUCUUUGUUCAAGACCACAUCUCAGCAAUGCAGUCAACGAAUAAGACGAACGAUUGUUUCCACUCAGCGCACUCCGCCGCUCGCCAACCCAGACAAAUCUAACCCGCCCUGGCAGGGACGCUUCAGCGCGGUAUGGAGCUUUUCCGAGCUGCCGCCGAGGCCUGCUCUCACCCGAGCAGAGGAGAGAGACAGCUUUUUGCUGAUGACUCCGGAACUGUGUCUCUUCCAGAGGCUGGAGAAUGCACCUUUAGGAGAGUGCAGUGAAAUCUCCGUCGAUCACGCACGCCUGAGGCUCUAAAUUUCAUCCGAUUUAAACUCUCAGUGGGGCUUUUACACGUAAUCAACAUAGUCUUUUAUGCAAGUCACACAAAAUGUUAGUAUUUAAAAGCAAUGCCGUGCCCCAAAUGAAUAGCGAGUGGGACCUGUUUUCCGAGUGACCCACCGCUCGGCCCCAGCCCCACUCCACCCCCUGGUGGUCAAGGUUUCGUGGGGGAAAUGGUUUCCGAAGAAGAAGGAAGCAGGAGGCUUGCAGCCCAAAGUCCGGGGCACGAAAGGCCCCCGUUCCCCUCCUCCUCCCCGCAGCAGUUUGCUCCUCUCAUCUCCGUUCCCUCGAGCUUUUUCACCCUCUCUUCAGGAUUCCGGGUCCCAGAAACAGGGUUCUCAAAGGAAUUUGCUGUCCAAAAAGUCUCAAAAGGAAUUUGCGGAAACGUCGAGGUUUCAGGAUUCGCGAUUCCCGAAUCCUCAGCAAGCUUGCCUGGCACCGCGCAGUCCCAUCACUCUGGAAGUCUUGAGUUUCUCUUUAGUAAUAGGACUGUUGAGUUUACAAAAUCCUAGAGCCGAAGAGUUCUUUCAAAUCAUGCAGUUUGGCUCCGGAAAGAAAUUGUACCUCCUGUAGAAGCGUUUCGUCACGACCGCCCGGCUAGCUCAGUCGGUAGAGCAUGAGACUCUUAAUCUCAGGGUCGUGGGUUCGAGCCCCACGUUGGGCGGGUUGUUUUGAUUCUUCUCUUAGUUACCAACUGAACCAGCCGCUUCUAAAUAUCCCUGUGGCCACCGUUGUUUUUAAACUUCGGUAAAUUCGUCCAGAAAUCACCUCUAUUCGCCCCAGUUUGAGGAAAAAGAGGAAUCCGGGCUACCGAUUCCAGCACCUCAGGUUGAGACCAGGAGGCUCUAAUCCACCGCUUGCAUGGAGAAGACGCCUUAAGACACAACCAAAUGAAAACACUUUCAUUCUCUUCUCGUUGGUUUUGAAACGUUCAUCGGUCUCAAAGGGCUGUGAACUACAACUCGUUUCGGAAUGUCUCAAAACGAAAAAGAGAAGAGGGCUCUGAAAAGGGAGCUCAGAAGGAACGCGGAAGAGCAAAAAUGUCAUCCAUUUGGAUGUGUGAGAUGAGGACCCAGGAGGUCCGUACCUUCAACUACCCUUCCUUUUGCUGUCUACCUCAGAUCAGACAAGCAGACAAGGGAAGGAAGAAAAAAACAAAGAAAAUCCUGUGGAACCCCUGGAUCAUGAUGCUUUCAGAAAUUCCUAGAGGUUUUUACUUGUCCAAGCGCCCGAGGAAAAGCCGUGAUUGUUCCUUAAUGGCCUGGAGCACUCUUAUGGUCAAGUGUGAGUUACAUCAGGUAAAUACAGCCUGGUUUGUCUGAGGUUUUUAAUAUGUACUUAUAAAGUAGGUGACUACUUUGUAAUAAAAGUAAUA